rnacentral:rRNA from 1 species
GAUGAACGCUAGCGGCAGGCUUAACACAUGCAAGUCGAGGGGUAACGUGAGUGCUUGCACUUGACGACGACCGGCGAACGGGUGCGUAACGCGUAUAGAAUCUGCCUUGUACAGGAGGAUAGCCCAGAGAAAUUUGGAUUAAUACUCCAUAAUGUUAUUUGAUGGCAUCAUUAAAUAAUUAAAGAUUUAUUGGUACAAGAUGACUAUGCGUCCUAUUAGCUAGAUGGUAAGGUAACGGCUUACCAUGGCAACGAUAGGUAGGGGGUCUGAGAGGAUUAUCCCCCACACUGGUACUGAGACACGGACCAGACUCCUACGGGAGGCAGCAGUGAGGAAUAUUGGACAAUGGGCGAGAGCCUGAUCCAGCCAUGCCGCGUGCAGGAAGACUGCCCUAUGGGUUGUAAACUGCUUUUAUACAGGAAGAAACCUACUUACGUGUAAGUAGCUGACGGUACUGUAAGAAUAAGCACCGGCUAACUCCGUGCCAGCAGCCGCGGUAAUACGGAGGGUGCAAGCGUUAUCCGGAAUCAUUGGGUUUAAAGGGUCCGCAGGCGGUCAAUUAAGUCAGAGGUGAAAUCUCACAGCUUAACUGUGAAACUGCCUUUGAUACUGGUUGACUUGAGUCAUAUGGAAGUAGAUAGAAUAAGUAGUGUAGCGGUGAAAUGCAUAGAUAUUACUUAGAAUACCGAUUGCGAAGGCAGUCUACUACGUAUGUACUGACGCUCAUGGACGAAAGCGUGGGGAGCGAACAGG